ACGGGUGAGUAAUGCUUAUCUAACUUGCCAAUUAGUGGGGGAUAACCCUGGUGCGCCAGGGCUAAUACCGCAUUUUUUGCUUCGGCAAUGAAAGGAAGUCACAAGAUUUUCGCUAAUUGAUAGGGAUAAGUCGUAUUAGUUAGUUGGUGGGGUAAUGGCCUACCAAGACAAUGAUGCGUAGCCAGGCUGAGAGGCUGAUUGGCCACAAGGGAACUGAGACACGGUCCCUACUCCUACGGGAGGCAGCAGUGAGGAAUCUUCGGCAAUGGGGGAAACCCUGACCGAGCAAUACUACGUGAAGGAGGAAGGUCUACGGAUUGUAAACUUCUGUUGGUAGAGAAGAAGAACUGGAUGCAAAUCCGGUUUUGACGGUAUCUACCGAGAAAGCCACGACUAACUACGUGCCAGCAGUCGCGGUAAGACGUAGGUGGCGAACGUUAUCCGGAAUUAUUGGGCGUAAAGGGUGCGUAGAUGGCAGAAUAAGUUAGUGGUGGGAAAUCGGGGCUUAACCCCGCGGAAGCCAUUAAUACUGUUUUGCUAGAGGACGGGGGGGGUUAACGGAACUCCCGGUGGAGCGGUGAAAUGCGUAGAUAUCGGGAAGAACACCAAAGAAGGCGAAGGCAGUUAACUAUUCUGCUCCUGACAUUGAGGCACGAAAGCGUGGGUAGCAAAGCGGAUUAGAUACCCGUGUAGUCCACGCCGUAAACGAUGAGUGCUAGACAUUGGACAUUAGUUCAGUGCCGCUAGGUAACCCGGUAAGCACUCCGCCUGGGUAGUACGCUCGCAAGAGUGAAACUCAAAGGAAUUGACGGGGACUCGCACAAGCAGUGGAGCAUGUGGUUUAAUCCGAUACAACGCGUAGAACCUUACCAAGGUUUGACAUGUUCGGCAAAACUCAAGAAACUGAGCGGAGGUUAUCCGAACACAGGUGCUGCAUGGCCGUCGUCAGUUCGUGCCGUGAGGUGUAUGGUUAAGUCCUAUAACGAACGCAACCCUUAGGUUUAGUUGCCAGCAUUCAGUUGGGGACUCUAAGCCGACUGCCUGAGUAAUCAGGAGGAAGGAAAGGAUGACGUCUGGUCGUC
rnacentral:rRNA from 1 species